CUAAGUUGGCUUGGAUUGAAAAAUCUGUAGGUGUAAUCCCCAGGCAGCUUGUAUUUCAAAUUUGAUGGUUUUGCAAGUGGAGAUCCUGCUGUAGUAGUACGAGUAUUGUUUUCCCUCUGCUCCUGCAACUCCCAUUCCCAAUCACCGACUGACGAACUGCUGCCUCGCAAUCCGAAACUUUGCACUUCAAUUUGUGAACAUGCAUGCAAAUAACGAGCGGCAGUCUGGAGCUGGAGGUGACCCACCUCUCGUGGGAACACUCCUGGGACUACACUCGGAAAACAUGGAGUUAACACAAAGUUUAACUACAUCAGGUGCUGUUUGUUCACUUCGAGGAUACACGGUGAAAAUGCAAAUGGGCUACAUAUGUACUCUGUAAACUUUUUCAGGCAAAUCAGAACUCAUAAACCCACUUCUAAAGUUUAUUUCCUUACCUAUUUAAUCCAGUUUACUUGCGAAGUUUUUACAGUGUAGUCCCAGUUGCCAACGUCGCGGGCUGGAGCCAAUUCGCAUUGAUUCGGCGACCUGGCACAUGCUCCUUGGGAUGCUGAUUAGAUGCUUAGCUGGCGGGGUCCUUGAUAAAUGGCGGCAGUUUAAAGUCGAGUGCGUCUGGCACUUGUAUGAUUUAAGAGUUCAAGGUUCAACUCCGCACCCAGUUCUGCACGCGGUCGUCCAGCGGCGCAACAAGUGGAUGUGAUCCCGGGCCGGAUGACACUUCCAAAUGCGGAGCCAGACGCAUAAUUAACCCGACAUCGGCAAUCGAAUCGGGCGGAAAAGCGCCAACUGCUGUAGCACAGUAAAAAAAGAAAGUGCCUAAAGGUUUAGCCCUUUCUUCCUUGUAUUUUACAGGUUUCAAACCCAUAACUGGGCUAAAAUGCUCCCCACGAUCAUCAGGAUAACUUUUUUUUGCAGCUUAUGAUCCAUGAAAUUGAUCCAAAUCACCUUUUGGUUAAUUUGGAAAAUUAAUUUUUUUGCCAAUUUUUGAAAAUUCGGCAAGGGGUACCAUCAUAAAAAUUUGCACAAAUGGGCCAAAAAUUAUUCUUUUGAAAUCAAAAAAUCUUGAAUGCCAAUCGAUUAGGCAUUCAAUUACGAGCUCAACGCGGUAUGACACUACAUAUUUUUAUCACUUUUUCCGAUUUUAUUCAGAUGCUUUCUAUCUGAAAGUUGGUCAAAAUGGAAAUCUUAGCCUAACGACUUGGCUAAAUCGGCUAAAAUGGCAACUACAACUUGUGGCUUCCCGCUUGAAAGUUGGUCAAAAUGGGAGUUUUAGCCCAAGGACCUUUAUUUGCAUCUUGGUUUCGGGGUGACUUUAUUUUCGAGUGUUGCUGGUAACCAACUUCUGGCUUUCCAUUUGAGGCACUCGUGCGCGCAGGGAGAUGAUGAGAAAUGGACUACCUACAUAGAUGGCGAUACCUUCAUAUUUCAUCGCAUUCCGCAUCCCGCAUCCACGCACACAUGGCAGUCGAAAAAGUUUGGGCCAAUCUGCUCCAGGUUCUGGCCGUAGUAUCCUAGCUGAUUUGCUGCUCCUUCGUGGGGUUUUGCUGCUUUACGAGCAGCUGUCUAAUGUAGCCGAAGGAACACAAAGAGAGCUGCUUUUGGCUGCGCUUUAUGUGGAUUUAACUAAUGAAGCAGUGGCAGCAAGAGAAAAA